rnacentral:hammerhead_ribozyme from 1 species
AUCCAGCUGACGAGUCACAGAUAGGAGUAAACGCGUGUUCUGGAU